GACAGGAAACUGAAAGGGCUUUUUCCCAGAAAAGAAGCAAAGUGCUGUAGCAGAUAACAAUAAAACCACACCAGCCUGUGAUCCUGGAAGUUGUGUCCAAGGAGGGUGCACUCUGCAAAAAGAGGGUACCUACUGAGCUACUGAAUGAGAAAAAAACAGGGAUCAAGAGGAGUCAAUAGGAAGCCCUAAGCUCAUCACUGCAAUAGAACAAAACUUCUCUGCUUGCUUCUUUUUGCGUUUCCCCAUCACCUCCAGGGAUACUCGCUCAAUCCUCAGAAUGCUUCUCAAAAUCCUCAACUCAAAAUCUACCUUCCAACAUUUUAAAAUUCAAAAUCUUGACUGUAAAAUGUAAUCUCCAAUAAUAAGCAGUUUUGUACAGAUUGCUCAUUA